UGUCGCCGAUUUCGUCUUUGCCGACAUCGAGCAAGUGCAGCGCCGGAAGUGUUGCGUUUUGCACUGCAUUUUCCUUGUGAUAUGGGAGAUCGCAACGCAGAGACGACCAGAUGCAUACGAAAGACUACCAGCGGAGAGUGACCUGUGCCAUAUUUCUCUUAACCUCUCAGGUAUUCAAGAAAUGGCAACAUCCAGAAGAAGACGCCAUCUUAUCCAGCACGUUAUGGGUACACUCUGGUGGCUCCCGCCCCUGCAUCCUACGACCACCGUGUCCUCACUAUGUUCACUAGGGAGUUCGAAGCCUUUGGAGGCUCCUGCCACUGCGUCCUGCCACCACCGUGUCCUGACUACGUCCACUAGGGAGUUGGCAGCCUUCGUGAUGAUGCCAAGCAGGCUGGAAGCUGACAGAACGAUCGAGGUUGCCUCGAAAUUUUACCCAAGCCGUGCCACACACUUGGGCCAGGCCUCUUGCAAACGACGUAUAACCAGGCUCAACGCAGGAUGUCGAGUGAGUCCGGAGAUCGAGGCAACCUGCUGUGCAACCAGCGUGCAACCUUUGGUGACCCUCAACAUGUUCCACCUAUUUCACAGCUGCACUCAGCUUCCACCUAUCCAAACCGCAUCACCAGCUGUGGUCACUCAUCGAACCAUGGAUGAAUGUUGGGGUGGAGUGAUUUGAAGAGACAUUUUUUUUGUCUCUUCAAAUCCUUAGCAAAUACUUGUGUUAUUAUAAUUAAUAUGUGUCUUUAGUGCCUAGUUUUUAAUGGUUCCUUUCUAUUAGAAUUCUCGCCAUCGAUUCCUGCUAUUAUAAUGUAUGUCUGUCUUUAUGCACAGUUUUUCAUAGUUCUUUUGUACUUGUCUAUGUAAUUGAUAGGUUCAUACUUCUUGUUAUACAGAAGGCUAAAAUGCAAACUUACGGCAUUUUUUUCUUCCUUUUGAUAAUCUACAGCACUGCAAAGUGUUCAAGAAAUGUAACCCAACGUGGGCUCUGGUGCAGGAAAAAUUUAAGAGCAAUAUAGAGUACUUAUUUCAAACACCCAUUAUUUUUGGAAAAGUAAAGAAUAUAGGAGCACAAAAAAGAAAAUAUUAAACUAGAGAAACAUGAGUUCCCCUCAUAAGUCUGAUAAUAAUGUGACUUCCCUUCACUGCAAAGACACCAGUAAUAUACUCGCAUACAAGGUUUGAAACAAGAAAGCUAUGAUGCCCUUGGCAUUUCUCAGUGCCUAUUUGUCACACUGACGAAUGUCAAAGGCAUCGUAGGUUUCAUGUACACAUUGGUUGUGUUACACUUUUGAGUAUUGCAUUUCUCAAACACAAAGGUUUACAGCAGUGCUUUAAAUAGCAAAUGCAUUUCCUAAUUUAUUAGUGCAAGAGGAACAGUACAGAUCAUGUAAAAAUUUUUUUACAGACUAUAUGUCCAUGGAUGCACGCUUCUGAUGACAUAGCAGUGACGUGGUCGUGGGAUGAAUGACUUUAUUUCAGAUUUAAAUAUUGGCUUCCAGGUCUGGGUUAGUCUCCUACACUGAAUAGUCUAGGUCAGAGCCCAUUUACUAGAGAAAGUGAAUUAAACUAGGAAUUAUAAACAUCAAAAGAUCUUGUUUAGGAAAUUAAUGUGACAAUCAGCAAGGUUCUUUGGGUAUUCAUUUCCAAAUUUGUAGGAUAUAUUUUAUGACUGGUUUCAUUAUUGUGAGAACAAAUAUUUGUUUAUUGUCACACUAGAGUUGGCUGCCCCCAUUUGUAUACAACCCCUUUACAGGCUAAAAAUUCAGUGUGUUACCCUAUUUACUCGCAUAAUGAUCGCACUUUAUUGUAAAAAAAAUUGACUCAAAUUCAGAGGUGCGAUCAUUACGCUGGGUAAAUUUCCCACAAAAAGAAAAAAAUAUAUCCUCUGGCAUUUGCUACGGGAUGACAACAGGUCAACAAAGAGG